UGUAGUUUCGAGAAGUACUUUCUCGGCGGAGCCGCGUGCCGUCCAAGUUGCUUGGAACAGCACGUCAUAGAGGGUGACAACCCCGUGCUGGUGGCGGAUCGGCCGCUCACGAUGUGCUUUCGACGAGUCGGGUUGUUUGGGAAUGCAGCCCAAAAUGGGUGGUAAACUCCAUCUAAAGCUAAAUAUUGGCACGAGACCGAUAGCGAACAAGUACCGUGAGGGAAAGAUGAAAAGCACUUUGAAAAGAGAGUUAAAAAGUACGUGAAACCGUUAAAAGGGAAACGAAUGGGGUUAGCAAUGCGCUCUGCGAGAUUCAGCCGGCCGGUUCGUCGGUGGGGCGGUUCUGCGGAUCUGAAUGGACCGCGGCCGUCCUGUUCGGCGCUUCGGCCGUCGCACUUCUCGCGAGCGCGCGCCAACAUCGGUUGGGACUGGGUUUUAAAGUGGCCGGUAAGGUAGAUCCCAACCCUCGGGUUGGUAUUGUUAUAGACCGGCCUCGUUGAUGGCCCGGGCCCGACCGAGGAGCCGCGGCGCAUGCCUCUUUUGGGGCUAGGGUCCCGUCGUUCCGGUUGGUAGUAGACUGCGGUGGACUGCAUGCAGUGCGCCGCGACAGCUGCCGGUCGCGACGGCGGUGGCCUCAUACCAUGCGCCCAGGAUGUUGGCGGUCACAUGGCCUCAUCCGACCCGUCUUGAAACACGGACCAAGGAGUCUAACAUGUGCGCGAGUCUUCGAGUGAUUGAAACUCCGGAGGCAGAAUGAAAGUGAAGGUGGCCUCGUGCCGCUGAGGUGAGAACCUCUCCCCAAAGGGAGGGGCGCUACUACGACCGAC
rnacentral:rRNA from 1 species